CUGUAUGUUAAACGAGAAGACUUUAGAUAUGAUCCAGAGUACCACGGGACACGUGAAACCCUGUGGGAAGCAGGAGGGACCACCCUCCAAGGCUAAAUACUACCUAGUGACCGAUAGCGUAUAGUACCGUGAGGGAAAGGUGAAAAGAACCCCGGGAGGGGAGUGAAAUAGAACCUGAAACCCUGCACUUACAAGCUGUGGAAGCACAUUUCUUGUGUGACCGCGUACUUUUUGUAGAACGGGCCAACGAGUUACGUUAAGUAGCAAGGUUAAGCACUUAAGGUGCGGAGCCGUAGCGAAAGCGAGUUUUAACUGAGCGUUCAGUUACUUGACGUAGACCCGAAACCGGGCGACCUACCCAUGAGCAGGAUGAAGCGAAAGUAAAAUUUCGUGGAGGUCCGAACCCACGAGCGUUGAAAAGCUCGGGGAUGACUUGUGGGUAGCGGUGAAAUUCCAAUCGAGCCCGGAGAUAGCUGGUUCUCCCCGAAAUAGCUUUAGGGCUAGCCUCAAGGUGAGAGAUACGGAGGUAGAGCACUGAAUGUCCUAGGGGGUAUUGCACCUACCGAAGACUAUCAAACUCCGAAUGCCGUCAUCUUAUACUUGGGAGUCAGACUGUGGGUGAUAAGAUUCAUAGUCGAAAGGGCAACAGCCCAGAUCGUCAGCUAAGGUCCCUAAAUGUAAGUUAAGUGGUAAAGGAUGUGGGAUUGCACAGACAACCAGGAUGUUGGCUUAGAAGCAGCCACUCAUUCAAAGAGUGCGUAAUAGCUCACUGGUCGAGUGAUCCUGCGCCGAAGAUUUCCGGGGCUAAAACUU
rnacentral:rRNA from 1 species